rnacentral:rRNA from 1 species
UCAGAUUGAACGCUGGCGGCAGGCCUAACACAUGCAAGUCGAGCGGAUGAGGGUAGCUUGCUACCUGAUUCAGCGGCGGACGGGUGAGUAAUGCCUAGGAAUCUGCCCGAUAGUGGGGGAUAACGUUCCGAAAGGAACGCUAAUACCGCAUACGUCCUACGGGAGAAAGCGGGGGAUCUUCGGACCUCGCGCUAUCGGAUGAGCCUAGGUCGGAUUAGCUAGUUGGUGAGGUAAAGGCUCACCAAGGCGACGAUCCGUAGCUGGUCUGAGAGGAUGAUCAGCCACACUGGAACUGAGACACGGUCCAGACUCCUACGGGAGGCAGCAGUGGGGAAUAUUGGACAAUGGGCGAAAGCCUGAUCCAGCCAUGCCGCGUGUGUGAAGAAGGUCUUCGGAUUGUAAAGCACUUUAAGUUGGGAGGAAGGGUUGUAACCUAAUACGUUGCAACUUUGACGUUACCGACAGAAUAAGCACCGGCUAACUUCGUGCCAGCAGCCGCGGUAAUACGAAGGGUGCAAGCGUUAAUCGGAAUUACUGGGCGUAAAGCGCGCGUAGGUGGUUUGAUAAGUUGGAUGUGAAAGCCCCGGGCUCAACCUGGGAAUUGCAUCCAAAACUGUCUGACUAGAGUACGGUAGAGGGUAGUGGAAUUUCCUGUGUAGCGGUGAAAUGCGUAGAUAUAGGAAGGAACACCAGUGGCGAAGGCGACUACCUGGA